rnacentral:rRNA from 1 species
ACUCCUACGGGAGGCAGCAGUGGGGAAUAUUGCACAAUGGGGGAAACCCUGAUGCAGCCAUGCCGCGUGUGUGAAGAAGGCCUUCGGGUUGUAAAGCACUUUCAGUAGGGAGGAAGGUAGUGUAGUUAACACCUGCAUUAUUUGACGUUACCUACAGAAGAAGCACCGGCUAACUCCGUGCCAGCAGCCGCGGUAAUACGGAGGGUGCGAGCGUUAAUCGGGAAUUACUGGGCGUAAAGCGCAUGCAGGCGGCCUGUUAAGUCAGAUGUGAAAGCCCGGGGCUUAACCUCGGAAUUGACAUUUGAAACUGGCAGGCUAGAGUCUUGUAGAGGGGUUAGAAUUUCAGGUGUAGCGGUGAAAUGCGUAGAGAUCUGAAGGAAUACCA